CACCAGGUUGAUUCUGCCUGACGUAGAGGCUAGCCUCAGGGACUAAGCCAUGCAUUGUUAGUGAAGUUUUUAAUGAAACGACGGACGGCUCAGUAAUACUACUUUUAACUAACCUUUUGUACUAAUAAUUAAGGGAAACUGUAAUUAAAAAUCAUGAGGAUGUGAGGUAGACCUAUUAGCUAGUUGGUUGUGUAAAGGACUACCAAGGCUAUAAUGGGUAACGGAGAUUUAGUGAUCGAAACCGGAGAUGGAAGCUGAGAAACGGUUCCAAUGUCCAAGGAUAGCAGCAGGCGCGAAAAUUGCACACUCUUUAAUGGGGAUGCAGUUAUGAGGUAUGACAGAAAGGGUUAUCAAUAAAUAAGAUGACGUAAAGCUAUUAGAGGGAAAGUUUGGUGCCAGCAGCCGCGGUAAUACCAACUCUAAGAGUCUCUAUGCGAGUUGCUGCAGUUAAAAAGUCCGUAGUCUUUACGUAAUUAAAAAUGAAUGAUCAAGUUUCAUAUUUUUACGUUUAUAUAUGAGACGGAUUGGGAGCAUAGUAUAACUGGGUUAAGAAUGAAAUCUCACUACCCUAGUUGGACUAUCAGAAGCGAAAGCGAUGCUCUAAUACGUACUUUUAGAUAAAGGACGAAGGCUAGAGUAGCGAAAGGGAUUAGAUACCCCUGUAGUUCUAGCAGUAAACUAUGCCGACAGAAUGUUAGAUAUAUUUCUAGUGUUCAAGGGAAACCUUAAGUGAUCGGGCUCUGGGGAGAGUAUGCUCGCAAGUGUGAAAAUUAAACGAAAUUGACGGAGUUACACCACAAGGAGUGGAUUGUGCGGCUUAAUUUGACUCAACGCGAGGAAUUUUACCAGGGCUGAAUAUAUUUGAGAUUGAUUACAUGAAAUAUAUUUGAGUGGUGCAUGGUCGUUGUAAACUCAUGGAUUGAUCUUAAGUUCAACUGCUAAAAUGGGUGAGACUUUCAUAAACAGCUAUCUAACAGGUAGAGGAAGGGGAAGGCGAUAACAGAUCCGUGAUGCCCUCAGAUGUCCUGGGCUGCACGCGCAAUACAUUAUGUAUAUUUUUUAUAAAUAGAUACUACAUAUUGGGGAAUUGACUUUUGUAAAUAAGUCAUGAACUUGGAAUUCCUAGUAAUAAUGAUUCAUCAAGUCAUUGUGAAUGUGUCCCUGUAGCUUGUACACACCGCCCGUCACUGUCUCAGAUGGUUGAUGAGAUGAAGAGCUUCGGUUCUGAAUCUUAACAACUAAAUAAGACAUAAGUCGUAACAAGGUAACCA
rnacentral:rRNA from 1 species